CACGCAUCUAUCCAUAAUUCCAGAUCUGUAUCUGAAAUUGCAAAAUGCAACCUACACAUAACAUCUUCCGGCCAAUUUAUUAACAUACAUAUAAUUUUCCACGCCAGUUAUUUAACUGGUGAUAAUUGCCUCUAAGUUGGACUAUUUCUGGGCAUUGUGUCGUUUACCAUUUGAAUUCAUUUUGUGCAAAUGACAUUGGCCACAACCCGCAAUUGAAAAUGUCAUUCAACACGUGACCGAACGUAUGCUGUUAGAUUCAAUACAUCCCACAGCCCCGGGCAGUACAACAGAGGCGAGUUUUCCACAACAACCGUACAAACACCGCCACCGAGCUGUUCGUCGCCAACAACAAAAGAAUGAUGAACCAGAUCUCAUAUAAGGACCCUUGAGUUGCAUUCCUGAUACAAUUUUUGAAGG